rnacentral:sRNA from 1 species
AAAAAAAAAGGAAAAAAAAAGGAAAAAAAAA